rnacentral:rRNA from 1 species
UACGUAGGGUGCAAGCGUUAAUCGGAAUUACUGGGCGUAAAGCGUGCGCAGGCGGCGUCGCAAGUCAGGCGUGAAAUCCCCGAGCUUAACUUGGGAAUUGCGCUUGAAACUACGAUGCUAGAGUGUGGCAGAGGGAGGUGGAAUUCCACGUGUAGCGGUGAAAUGCGUAGAUAUGUGGAGGAACACCGAUGGCGAAGGCAGCCUCCUGGGCCAACACUGACGCUCAUGAACGAAAGCGUGGGGAGCAAACAGG